ACUGCUCAGUAACACGUGGACAACCUGCCCUUAGGACGGGGAUAAACCCGGGAAACUGGGUAUAAUACCCGAUAGGUCUCGAUUGCUGGAAUGCAUCGAGAUUUAAAGCUCCGGCGCCUAAGGAUGGGUCUGCGGCCUAUCAGGUAGUAGUGGGUGUAGCGUACCUACUAGCCUACGACGGGUACGGGUUGUGAGAGCAAGAGCCCGGAGAUGGAUUCUGAGACACGAAUCCAGGCCCUACGGGGUGCAGCAGGCGCGAAAACUUUACAAUGCUGGCAACAGCGAUAAGGGAACCUCGAGUGCCAGGUUACAAAUCUGGCUGUCGAGAUGCCUAAAAAGCAUUUCAUAGCAAGGGCCGGGCAAGACCGGUGCCAGCCGCCGCGGUAACACCGGCGGCUCGAGUGGUAACCGUUAUUAUUGGGUCUAAAGGGUCUGUAGCCGGCCGGAUAAGUCUCUUGAGAAAUCUGGCAGCUUAACUGUCAGGCUUUCAGGAGAUACUGUCUGGCUCGAGGCCGGGAGAGGUGAGAGGUACUUCAGGGGUAGGGGUGAAAUCUUGUAAUCCUUAAAGGACCACCAGUGGCGAAGGCGUCUCACCAGAACGGACCUGACGGCAAGGGACGAAGGCUAGGGGCACGAACCGGAUUAGAUACCCGGGUUGUCCUAGCCGUAAACGAUACUCGCUAGGUGUCGGCCACGGUGCGACCGUUGUCGGUGCCGUAGGGAAGCCGUGAAGCGAGCCACCUGGGAAGUACGGCCGCAAGGCUGAAACUUAAAGGAAUUGGCGGGGGAGCAC
rnacentral:rRNA from 1 species